rnacentral:rRNA from 1 species
GAUGAACGCUGGCGGCGUGCCUAAUACAUGCAAGUCGAGCGAGCAGACGAGGAGCUUGCUCCUCUGACGUUAGCGGCGGACGGGUGAGUAACACGUGGAUAACCUACCUAUAAGACUGGGAUAACUUCGGGAAACCGGAGCUAAUACCGGAUAAUAUAUUGAACCGCAUGGUUCAAUAGUGAAAGACGGUUUUGCUGUCACUUAUAGAUGGAUCCGCGCCGCAUUAGCUAGUUGGUAAGGUAACGGCUUGCCAAGGCGACGAUGCGUAGCCGACCUGAGAGGGUGAUCGGCCACACUGGAACUGAGACACGGUCCAGACUCCUACGGGAGGCAGCAGUAGGGAAUCUUCCGCAAUGGGCGAAAGCCCGACGGAGCAACGCCGCGUGAGUGAUGAAGGUCUUCGGAUCGUAAAACUCUGUUAUUAGGGAAGAACAAAUGUGUAAGUAACUAUGCACGUCUUGACGGUACCUAAUCAGAAAGCCACGGCUAACUACGUG